rnacentral:rRNA from 1 species
CGGUAAGCUUACGGUGUCUUCGGACGCUGUGGGAAAAGUAGGCCUCUAUUUAUAAGCUUACGCUCUGAGAUGAGCCGCGGCCCAUCAGCUAGUUGGCGGGGUGAACGGCCCACCAAGGCAACGACGGGUAGCUGGUCUGAGAGGACGAUCAGCCACACUGGAACUGAGACACGGUCCAGACUCCUACGGGAGGCAGCAGUGGGGAAUUUUCCACAAUGGGCGAAAGCCUGAUGGAGCAACGCCGCGUGUGUGAUGAAGGUUUUCGGAUCGUAAAGCACUUUCGACCGGGACGAAAAACCUCUGGCUAACAUCCAGGGGCCUGACGGUACCGGGAGAAGAAGCACCGGCUAACUCUGUGCCAGCAGCCGCGGUAA